CGGCCAUUUGUAUCUUCGAAUAUAUACACAACUUCAAAUCUGUAUUAAGGAAUGCACGCAAAAUAUCUAAAACUUUGUACUAUGGUCCAACUUGAGGUUUUCAGCACUUUUAUUCUUUGCGGAUAACAAUUACAAAGGUCACAUACUAACGGAAUCAAAGAGACACUUUCACAAGGAGGAAGCUGACAUAAUGUUCAGCCACAACUAAAGUACAUACAUAUACAGACACACAUACGUACGGACACAAACACAUACAUAUAUAAUCAUAACCAAUCCUCGCUC
rnacentral:lncRNA from 1 species